rnacentral:rRNA from 1 species
UACGUAGGGGGCAAGCGUUAUUCGGAAUUAUUGGGCGUAAAGGGCGCGUAGGCGGCUUGGCAAGUGGAUGGUGAAAUCCCUCGGCUUAACCGAGGAACUGCCGUCCAAACUGCUUUGCUUGAGGCCGGGAGAGGUGAGUGGAAUUCCCAGUGUAGCGGUGAAAUGCGUAGAUAUUGGGAGGAACACCAGUGGCGAAGGCGGCUCACUGGACCGGUACUGACGCUGAUGCGCGAAAGCGUGGGGAGCAAACGGG